rnacentral:rRNA from 1 species
GAUGAACGCUGGCGGCGUGCCUAAUACAUGCAAGUCGAGCGAACGGACGAGAAGCUUGCUUCUCUGAUGUUAGCGGCGGACGGGUGAGUAACACGUGGAUAACCUACCUAUAAGACUGGGAUAACUUCGGGAAACCGGAGCUAAUACCGGAUAAUAUUUUGAACCGCAUGGUUCAAAAGUGAAAGACGGUCUUGCUGUCACUUAUAGAUGGAUCCGCGCUGCAUUAGCUAGUUGGUAAGGUAACGGCUUACCAAGGCAACGAUGCAUAGCCGACCUGAGAGGGUGAUCGGCCACACUGGACCUGAGCCACGGUCCAGACUCCUACGGGAGGCAGCAGUAGGGACUCUUCCGCAAUGGGCGAAAGCCUGACGGAGCAACGCCGCGUGAGUGAUGAAGGUCUUCGGAUCGUAAAACUCUGUUAUUAGGGAAGAACAUAUGUGUAAGUAACUGUGCACAUCUUGACGGUACCUAAUCAGAAAGCCACGGCUAACUACGU